AAAGAUGUAUAAGAUCCUCUGGAGAAACCACACCGAGGAUGAAGCAACAUGGGAAACAGACGAAUAUCUGAACAAGCAUUUUCCAGGUUUUCUAUCCCCUCAAGGAGGUAAGGAUAGCACACCCCCUUGAUCUCUGAAUCUCGGGACGAGAUUCUUUUUAAGAGGGGUAGGCUGUAACGACCGACCCCUCAACCUUCCCGAGUUAAUCUUGAUCAAAGCCCUUGAUCCUAGUCAUCUGUCUUGCUUGACCGCGCCUAAGUGCUCAGCUAUCCGCCUGGUCCCGACCCCUGAGAUCCGACCCCUUCCCGCUUCGCUCCUCUCCCGACCCCGGCGAGCUCAGCCCACCGUCGGAUUCUGCUAAUCUUCCUCCACCAUCCGAUCUAUCCACCGGUGGACCCGUGAGAUCUUUUCCAGAUCCCCCGCGACAGCUGCACUCGAGUUGCAUGGAUGCUUCAGAGUCUUCCUGCCGCGUGGCUCGUCUUCUCCGACGCCUGCCGCUCAGUUUUGUCUCUGGCCAGCGACCGAGUGGGUUCCCGCGCCCCCUUUCCCCAAUGGCAGCGGCAGCCCUCUGCACCCCUUUCUGCAGAGCCUCGCCUCCCGCGCCCAUCAUCACGCCGCCAGAUCCCGGCCCCAGAGCCUAAUGUCGCCCGUCUUUUCCGUCCCUUCAGCCACAGUCGUGCCGCCUGGUCACCGCUACCCGACGAUUCCUCCACUGCCAAUCCCGACCGCGGCCGCGACAGUUCCUUUCCCCCGCUCUGUCAGAAGCCGCCCGACAAUCUGUUGUUCCGCGCUCUCCCCCGCGCCCGCGUCCGCCUGUCUUCUCACCUGUGCGCCCUCGAUUCUAGCGCCGUUAAGCCGGUCGCUUCUAUCAAAUCUUCCGCACGACGACACCCGCUUUCCGCCAAAUCUCAACCACCAGUCUACCCGCUCCUACGCCGCCCUGACGGCAGAACGCAAUGAUCGCUGGCGUCACCCCCGGAGUUCUGCACCACCGCCCUCUUCGCUCAAUCGCCGCCCCGGCAGAGCACUCCAUUGCCUCUCCCCGGCCUUCGCGUCGCUCCCCUUCUCUCUCUCCGCGCUGUUUCCUUUCCUCUGCUCCAGUAGCUAUAAAAGGAAUGCCCCCAUCGCCUGAGUUCCCUCCGCCCUUGUUGCCUUCAGCCUUCUCUAGCUCCCUGCUCAAGCUCCUAGCGCCACCCACCCAAUUCUUGAGGAGUUCUUCUCUCAGUUCUCUCUCAGUUUUCUCCAAGUCACCCAGCAGCUUGCUCCUCCGUGCUGCGUAAAAGCUCUCUUGUGAUCCGCAGGAAGCAGCGCCGCCGCCGGAGCAUUGCCGGUCUUAGCUUCUGUUCAAACCUUAGUCCCUCCGCCCAAAGUCCGCUUCUUUCCGACCCCAAGCUUUCCUUUCAGGAAAAAGGUGAGUUGCCGACCCCAGUCCGCCUCGCCCGACCCCUCCUAUUCGCCCGACCCCUCCUAUUCGCCCGACCCCGGUUCCGUCUCGCCCGAUCCUAUCUGUUCCGCCGACCCUCAUCCGCCUCACCCGAGGGCUUGGCUGUGAUCUUUUUCUUCAACUCGAGGGUGUAUGUGUAAAACUUGGAAACCCUUCAGCGCUUGCGUCUAAGGACCCCCAGUUUAUCACAUCCUCUAGUUCAAGGAUCAGACCACUAGUUCCUUUCCUACCCUUACCUCUUGAUCAUCAUCAGCUCUCUCGAACCACCAUAACCUCCUACUCUUUGUCGCAAGUUUCUGGGCUCAGGCGAGCCAGUGUUGCUGUUGAAAUAACCGUCUAUGCUAAGCCUUGCAUUGCAUUCGUGUAGAGCUGCACCUCGCCAACAGCUUCUACGAGCUUCACCCGGCGCCAGAAGAAGAAGCUGUAGCCGAGCUCCUGUCCUCCGAAGCCGAAGUCGCCCCCGAAGUCGAGCAGUUUCUGUCCUCUUUGCUUGAAGGCAAGCCCCGGUUGCAUGAAAAUCCUACGUGUUUUGCCAGACUUGCGCAUGCCUUCUGUAACAUGCUUGUGCAUUUACGUAUAGGAGUUGUGUGAAACCCUAGAUGCAUGACUUAGUUAUCCCAGUGAUCUGAGCACUAGCUGUUGGACCGAGUAGCUGCAUUGCUUAACUAGGAGACGGUAAAAGUUGAGUGAUUUCCUAUCACUCGCGAGUUGUAGGAGUUGCAUGUUUACUCUCCUGUUAUAACUAUAAGGACGAUGGACGGGGCAGGGUUUUGGUAACUCUUUGGUGGUCGGAUGGUUGCCCCGUCUGUCUAUGAAAUCUUGCUAAGGCCCGACAGUGGUGGUGUUUGUGAUCAAGUGUUUGAAAGUACUAGCCUCAUACUUAGUAUGGGAUGAGGAAGCCUAGUACCAGAUUGAACCUAGACGUGAGCGGUCGCCCCAUUGUUCUUGGAACGGAGUUUCCCCUGCUGGUUGUCGCACGUGGUGGCAAGCGUGGUCACGGAACGGCAGAGGCCGGGUCUGUGGAACCUUGCACCAAAGGAAAUGGGCCCGACACGGGUUAGGGGAUUGAUGGGGAAGGCCGACACAAGAAGCGACCUCCGGGUGCGCGGAUGUCGUGAGGCUAGGUUCACCAUGCAUGGUUAAAGAACUCGAAUCGAUUCGUCUGCCUCUCACAGUUUGAGAUUGCUUGAUCGCUAUGUCACCCUGAGUAAAUGAGGAAUCUGAUGAUGGCAAUGUUUGUUGUUAUAUCUACACAUUUUGUUUGGUUCUAUGAAGUCUUAGAAUAGGUGUCACAACCUAGACUGGUAAAUGAACCUAGAACUGGAGCUAAAACUUGAAAAUAGGGUAACUUAGUGCUUUUGGCAAACCAACCCCUCAGCCAAACAGCCUGCAUGUCUAGAAGGAGGAGUAGCCCUUACUCCUAUCGGUUAAGUCUUGUUGAGCUUAGUAGCUCAGCCUUGUUGUGGCUCCUAUUUUUCAGGUGAAGUUGCUGCUUCCGACCCCUCUCUGGUUGGUGCUUGGCCGCCCCAGCUCCCGCCAGGCUGGACGGUCGAGUGGGAUCCUUCCUCGGACGGCGAGGAGAGGAGCCAGUGAUAUCUCGGUUGGCCUCACCAGGGAUGUCCGACCCCGACGAAGUUUUCCGCUAGUGUUUUCUCUGUUGUUUCUUGAAAACUUGUAAAACUCCGAUGUUGGAUUUUAUGGCCAAACUAAAUGGGUAAAGCUCGUUCAACUCAGUGGACUUGUUGUAUUCUCUGUAACCACUCACCUUCGUGUGGGUUUGCUAAACUCGAUCCUGUUUAAGUGGUUAAAUCGGAUGAAAUCCGACGGCACUUCGUAUUAACUCGGUUUAGGCAGGAGUGUCGCAUAUUAGGCGGCUUAACCCUGCUUAAUCAAGCUAAUCCGAGGUGGUUCCGCCACAGCUGGUAUCAGAGCCGUGUUUAGCAUUUCAGAGAACCCAACAAGCCCUAUACACUUCUUUGAAUGGGAUAAAAGUUGCAAGAAACUUUUGAAAAAUCUCGUACGAUCGUUAAGGAUGACUUAGUGCGAGAGGCCCUAGGGGAUUUUGGGGUUGUUUUAGGUGACUAAUAAGUAUUUGGUUAUUUUGCUAACCCUUCCAGCACUUCGCCACGUCUAUCAUACAUGUGCCGAGUUCCGCAUCGCGAGCAUGCGAGGGUUGAUAGGGAGCUCCAUUCAAAGGACCCUAUCUUCGCGGUUGUUUUCGCCCACGUCUAUUACACGUGCGCAGGUUCCGUAUGUGUUCCAUACGAAGGUUGGUACGGUUCGAUUCCAACGAACCUAUCAGCACGGUUGUUUCGCCAUGUUUGUCAUACGUGCGCCGAUUCCGCAUCACGAGUAUGCGAAGGGUUAUAUGGUUCCAUUCAAAGGGGACCUAUUUCCACGGUUGAGUGCUGUCCAUGCAGCCUUAAACGCAUGGGUGUCGUUCCUAUAGUGAGCGGUAAUGUUUGGGAACGCUUUCGUGGGUGCUGGCAUGAAAGGUUCGUGUGUGGUGUUUUCUGCAGGUUGCUAACCGCGUUCGUAUAAGAGACGUUACUAGAACCGACUAGUUAUUAUAGGGAGAGACGUAUUAUUGCCUUGUCACCGGCGCUGACCGCGUAAGACCCAAAGUUCGGGCAGUUGUUUUUGGUUAAGAGUAAGGUAGGCCGUGCAUGCGUCAUAUCUAAAAGGUUGUACGGUUCCCUUUCUCAACAGCAACCCUGUUCGAAAGAGUUCUUCUGGAUCUAAGGAUUUCUAAUUUCUCUUAGUUGCUCUCGGUUGAAAACCGUAUGCUUCUCUAUCCGACCCCUAACCCUUGGAAUCUAUCUCACGUGGUUUUCGGUUUUCUUAGUUCCAGAUGGCUGUUCCCGGACAUGUUGUUUUUGGAGCGGACGGUACCUUCCAAUCGACGUGCCUGCACUUCGAGGGGUUUCCCGCGAUUCUGUGGGAUACGCUGAAGUGGUUUGGGUACCAGUCCCCGCCCUUGUAUGCCGGGCGGUUAUAUCUGGAACAGGGCAUUCAGACGUGCCAAGUGCAAGCGUUGGUACCACCUCCCCUUGCACGGCCCGACUGGCCCUCUCUUGGCAUAAUAGCCUAUGGUCUCGCUCCGGAAGAUACAUGGGAGUCUGCCGCCCUUCAGUUGCUCACCCAGUUCUGUCAGCUGCAUACCGUGGAAAUCACGCUAGACCCGAUCGGCCUCUUCCCCGUCAGGAACCGGUUGGACCCGGCAUGGCUUGAUCGCAUCGGGAACAUCGAGGUGUUAGCCACCACCUGCGCCAUGGUCACCAUCUCCACCAACAUCCGGUGCAUGGCCGCUCUCUACCGGUUGAUAGAGCUUCAAGGGAGAGCCAUGACCCUUUUCGCCUGGACGGCAGCAGAUACCCACGGUUACCUCCAGGCAGCAAGAAGAGAUAUGGUAGGCCAAACCUACCAGCUAAUCCAACGUGGUAUCCAGAUUCACGAUAUGCAAGAUCGGAUCUCCGAGCUAGAAGGAGAAGUCGCCGACCUCGUGGACGGCAUGAUAGAGCUCUCGGAGGAAAAGAUGGAGGUGGAAAUGGAGUUGGCAGUUGCCAAUGCCCACCUGGAGGAGCACCAAGCCGAGCUCGAAGAUAUGCAUGCCCUCAACAUGCAGCUCGAAGCUCAGGAGGACCCUGAGGAAGAUGAGGGAGCGUCCAGCAUGGAUAUAGAGGAAGAUGGUGCCCCUUCUCCGACUCAUAGUGUCCAUUGGUAGAUUAAGGGUUCUCAGGGAACCAUCUUUUUGUUGUACUCCUCGGCAGCCUAGAUUUUGGAAAAGUUGUAAUAGGUUAGCCUCGAGUUGAGUGCUCCCUGUGUUGAAACACCGUUGUAUAUAAAGUUAACCCUGGUGCAUAGCUUUCUCAUCUUUGUAUGGUGUGGAUGCUAGGUUGAGAAAGUUGCGCCGUGACCAUAUGCUGUGUUCUGAGGACCUGUUCUUGGGCCGACCCCAGCUUGUGAAACCGAGUGCGCCGACCCUUUGAGGCAGUUUCCGCCUCGUCCGACCCUUUUCAAGUACGGACCGUGUCCGACCCCUUGGUUUGAGUGGAUCAGAUCAUAGGAGUCUGUAUGUGGCAUGUGUUGCCUGAAGUGGAGUUUUCCAUAGAGUUGAUUCCUGGCACAGCCCCGAUAUCUAAGAGACCCUAUCGGAUGCCACCCGCUGAGUUAGCCGUGUUGAAGACCCAGUUGCAUGAUCUGUUGGAAAAGGGCUUCAUUCGACCCAGUACAUCAUCUUGGGGUUGCCCCGCCCUGUUUGUGAAGAAGAAGGAUGGCAGUCUACGUAUGUGUGUGGAUUACCAACCCCUCAAUGCUGUGACAGUCAAGAACAAGUAUCCGCUGCCACGCAUUAAUGUCUUGUUCGAUCAGUUAGCCGGAGCAAAAGUGUUCUCCAAGGUCGAUCUUCGUUCUGGUUAUCAUCAAACAAAGAUUCGACCCUGCGACAUACCCAAGACAGCUUUCUCUACCAGAUAUGGACUGUACGAGUACCUAGUCAUGUCCUUUGGACUCACCAAUGCACCCGCCUAUUUCAUGUACCUUAUGAACUCGGUGUUUAUGCCUGAGCUGGACAAGUUUGUAGUGGUGUUCAUUGAUGAUAUCCUAGUGUACUCGAAGAACAAGGAAGAGCAUCCCGACCAUCUUCAUAUAGUUCUCCAACGGCUGAGAAAUCACCAGCUCUAUGCCAAGUUCUUCAAGUGUGAGUUUUGGUUAGAUAGUGUCAAGUUUCUGGGACACACUAUCUCCAAGGAUGGUAUCACCGUGGAUCCCAGUAAGGUGCAAGAAGUCAUGGAAUGGAAGUCUCCUGCCUCAGUACACCAGAUCAGGAGUUUCCUUGGAUUGGCAGGUUACUAUCGGCGUUUCAUACCGGAUUUCUCCAAGAUAGCUAAGCCGAUGACCGAGUUACUGAAGAAAGAGGUCAAAUUUGUGUGGGACACCAAGUGUGAAGAGGCCUUCAAGACCCUGAAGCACUUGCUGACCACCGCUCCAGUUUUGGCUCAGCCCGACCCCUCUAGGCCGUAUGACGUAUACUGUGACGCCUCUAGCACUGGACUCGGAUGUGUUCUCAUGCAAGACACUCGAGUCAUUGCCUAUGCCUCACGUGCGUUAUGACCUCAUGAGCUAAGCUACCCGACACAUGACCUUGAGUUAGCAGCAGUGAUACAUGCCUUGAAGAUAUGGAGGCACUACCUAAUGGGAGCUCACUGCAACAUCUACACCGACCACAAGAGGCUCAAGUACAUCUUCACUCAGACCGACCUCAACAUGCGUCAAAGAAGAUGGCUGGAGUUGAUAAAGGAUUAUGAAUUGGAAGUGCACUAUCAUCCUGGCAAAGCCAAUGUGGUAGCCGAUGCCCUCAGCCGCAAACCCCAUUGCAACUGCUUGUUGUCAACAGCCUUCACCAAGACUCUGUGUCACGAGAUGGGAAAACUAAGUCUGGAGAUUAUUCCUCAAGGAACCCUUGGUCACACCAUCCUUGACUCAGUUUUGGAAGACCGAAUCCGGUCAGCGCAAGUAAGAGAUACGGAAGUACAACGGAUCAUCGGUAAGAUCUCAGUAAAGGAUGAGGGAUAUAAGCAUUUCCGUCGGGACAAAACAGGAGGUGUGUAUUAUGGAAACCGGCUAGUAGUACCCGCCGACCCCGAGUUGAGGAAGCAAAUCCUAGAUGAAGCUCAUCUCUCCAAGUUCUCGAUCCAUCCUGGCAGCAAUAAGAUGUACCAUGAUCUCCGUCAAACCUUUUGGUGGAGUGGAAUGAGGCCGGAGAUAGCUCGUUAUGUUUCAGAAUGUGACAUCUGUCAACGUGUCAAGGCCAGUCAUUUGAAGGUAGCAGGAACCUUGCAGCCGCUACCUAUUCCCUCUUGGAAAUGGGAAGACAUCAGCAUGGACUUCAUAAUUGGACUACCCCUUACAAAACAACGGUAUGAUUCCAUCUGGGUUAUAGUGGACCGUCUGACCAAGACAGCACAUUUCCUUCCUGUUCGCACCACCUACACAGUCAAGCAGUAUGCAGAGUUGUACCUCGACCGUAUAGUUUCCCUACAUGGUGUACCCAAGACUAUCGUCUCUGAUCGAGGAGUUCAGUUUGUGGCACGUUUUAGGGAGCAGCUACAAGCAUCUAUGGGCACCAAGCUCAUCCGAAGCUCGACCUAUCAUCCUCAAACUGAUGGCCAAACCGAGAGAGUCAACCAGAUUCUUGAAGACAUGUUAAGAGCGUGUGUUAUCCACUAUGAUAAAAACUGGGACAAGUGUCUGCCCUUGGCAGAAUUCUCCUACAAUAACAGCUACUAGGCCAGUUUGAAGAUGGCACCGUUUGAAGCCCUGUAUGGCCGAAGAUGCAGGACACCCUUGAACUGGUCCCAACUAGGGGAAAGACAGGUCUAUGGCCCUGACUUAGUGGCAGAAGCCGAAGAGCAAGUGAAGGUAAUUCAAGCAAAUCUCAAGGCUGCCCAAUCUCGACAGAAGAGUUACUCCGACCAGCGGAGAAGACCCCUGCAGUUCGACCUUGGUGAUCAUGUGUACCUUCGAGUCUCCCCGACCAAAGGAGUGCAGCGGUUUGGAAUAAAAGGCAAGUUAGCUCCCCGCUAUGUUGGCCCUUAUGAGGUUGUGGAGAUAUGUGGACCCGUUGCUUACCGGAUCCAACUCCCAGAACAGCUAUCGGCCAUACAUGAUGUUUUCCAUGUGUCUCAACUGAAGAAAUGUGUCCGAGUUCUAGCAGAGAUGUUAGAGCAAGGACAGCUUCAGGUAGAGCCUGACCUGACCUACGCCGAGUACCCAGAUCGAGUUCUUGAACAAAAGGAAAGGCACACCCGACGCCAAGUGGUAAAGAUGUACAAGAUCCUCUGGAGAAACCACACCGAGGAUGAAGCAACAUGGGAAACAGACAAAUAUCUGUACAAGCAUUUUCCAGGUUUUCUAUCCCCUCAAGGAGGUAAGGACAGCACACCCCCUUGAUCUCUGAAUCUCGGGACGAGAUUCUUUUUAAGAGGGGUAGGCUGUAACGACCGACCCCUCAACCUUCCUGAGUUAAUCUUGAUCAGAGCCCUUGAUCCUAGUCAUCUGUCUUGCUUGACCGCGCCUAAGUGCUCAGCUAUCCGCCUGGUCCCGACCCCUGAGAUCCGACCCCUUCCCGCUUCGCUCCUCUCCCGACCCCGGCGAGCUCAGCCCACCGUCGGAUUCUGCUAAUCUUCCUCCACCAUCCGAUCUAUCCACCGGUGGACCCGUGAGAUCUUUUCCAGAUCCCCCGCGAAAGCUGCACUCGAGUUGCAUGGCUGCUUCAGAGUCUUCCUGCCGCGUGGCUCGUCUUCUCCGACGCCUGCCGCUCAGUUUUGUCUCUGGCCAGCGACCGAGUGGGUUCCCGCGCCCCCUUUCCCCAAUGGCAGCGGCAGCCCUCUGCACCCCUUUCUGCAGAGCCUCGCCUCCCGCGCCCAUCAUCACGCCGCCAGAUCCCGGCCCCAGAGCCUGAUGUCGCCCGUCUUUUCCGUCCCUUCAGCCACAGUCGCGCCGCCUGGUCGCCGCUACCCGACGAUUCCUCCACUGCCAAUCCCGACCGCGGCCGCGACAGUUCCUUUCCCCCGCUCUGUCAGAAGCCGUCCGACAAUCUGUUGUUCCGCGCUCUCCCCCGCGCCCGCGUCCGCCUGUCUUCUCACCUGUGCGCCCUCGAUUCUAGCGCCGUUAAGCCGGUCGCUUCUAUCAAAUCUUCCGCACGACGACGCCCGCUUUCCGCCAAAUCUCAACCACCAGUCUACCCGCUCCUACGCCGCCCUGACGGCAGAACGCAAUGAUCGCUGGCGUCACCCCCGGAGUUCUGCACCACCGCCCUCUUCGCUCAAUCGCCGCCCCGGCAGAGCACUCCAUUGCCUCUCCCCGGCCUUCGCGCCGCUCCCCUUCUCUCUCUCCGCGCCGUUUCCUUUCCUCUGCUCCAGCAGCUAUAAAAGGAAUGCCCCCGUCGCCUGAGUUCCCUCCGCCCUUGUUGCCUUCAGCCUUCUCUAGCUCCCUGCUCAAGCUCCUAGCGCCACCCACCCAAUUCUUGAGGAGUUCUUCUAUCAGUUCUCUCUCAGUUUUCUCCAAGUCACCCAGCAGCUUGCUCCUCCGUGCUGCGUAAAAGCUCUCUUGUGAUCCGCAGGAAGCAGCGCCGCCGCCGGAGCAUUGCCGGUCUUAGCUUCUGUUCAAACCUUAGUCCCUCCGCCCAAAGUCCGCUUCUUUCCGACCCCAAGCUUUCCUUUCAGGAAAAAGGUGAGUUGCCGACCCCAGUCCGCCUCGCCCGACCCCUCCUAUUCGCCCGACCCCGGUUCCAUCUCGCAUGAUCCUAUCUGUUCCGCCGACCCUCAUCCGCCUCGCCCGAGGGCUUGGCUGUGAUCUUUUUCUUCAACUCGAGGGUGUAUGUGUAAAACUUGGAAACCCUUCAGCGCUUGCGUCUAAGGACCCCCAGUUUAUCACAUCCUCUAGUUCAAGGAUCAGACCACUAGUUCCUUUCCUACCCUUACCUCUUGAUCAUCAUCAGCUCUCUCGAACCACCAUAACCUCCUACUCUUUGUCGCAAGUUUCUAGGCUCAGGCGAGCCAGUGUUUCUGUUGAAAUAACCGUCUAUGCUAACCCUUGCAUUGCAUUCGUGUAGAGCUGCACCUCGCCGACGGCUUCUACGAGCUUCACCCGGCGCCAGAAAAAGAAGCUGUAGCCGAGCUCCUGUCCUCCGAAGCCGAAGUCGCCCCCGAAGUCGAGCAGUUUC
rnacentral:lncRNA from 1 species